rnacentral:ncRNA from 1 species
GGUAGUAGCAAGUAUUCAAAUGAGAACUUUAAAGACUGAAGUGGAGAAAGGUUCCAUGUGAACAGCAAUUGGACAUGGGUUAGUCAAUCCUAAGAGAUGGGGAAAUCCUGUAUGAAGGGCGCAAUGCGCGCCACCCAUUGAAAGGGAAUUGGGUUAAUAUUCUUGAACCGGGACAUGGUAGUGGGUGGUAAUGCUGACAAAUCCAGAGACACUAGCGGGGGCCCCAAGAAGAGUUAUCUUUUCUUUUUAACGGCCUGCCGACCUUGAAAUUGGUUCAACCGAAGAUAGGGUCUCACGGCUGGUAGAGCACCGCACGUCCUGCGGUGUCCGGUGCGCCCCCGGCGGUCCUUGAAAAUCUAGAGAAGCGAGUGCUAAGCUUGCCCAGUCGUACUCAUAACCACAUCAAGUAUCAAAAGAUACUUGUU